GGAUGAAUAUUGCACAAUGGGCGAAAGCCUGAUGCAGCGACGCCGCGUGGGUGAAGAAGGUUUUCGGAUCGUAAAACCCUUUUCUGUGUGACGAGAACGGACGGUAGCACAGGAAUAAGUCUCGGCUAACUACGUGCCAGCAGCCGCGGUAAAACGUAGGAGACAAACGUUAUCCGGAGUUACUGGGCGUAAAGGGCGUGCAGGCGGCAGUCUAAGUCUGGCGUGAAAUAUCCCGGCUCAACCGGGGAAG
rnacentral:rRNA from 1 species